ACCGUGGUAAUUCUAGAGCUAAUACAUGCUGAAAACCCCAACUUCGGGAGGGGUGUAUUUAUUAGAUAAAAAACCAACGCCCUUCGGGGCUUCUUGGUGAUUCAUGAUAACUUCACGGAUCGCAUGGCCUUGCGCCGGCGACGGUUCAUUCAAAUUUCGGCCCUAUCAACUUUCGAUGGUAAGGUAUUGGCUUACCAUGGUUUCAACGGGUAACGAGUAAAUAAGGUUCGAUUCCGGUGAGGGAGCCUGACCUCGGCUACAACAUCCAAGGUUGGCAGCAGGCGCGCAAAUUAUCCACUCCCGACACGGUGAGGUAGUGACAGUACUCACUGAUACAGGGCUCUUCUGGAUCUUGUCACUGGAAUGAGUACACCUGCCACCUCUUAACGAGUAUCAACUGCAAGCUAAGUCUGGGGCAAACAGCCGCGAUAAUUCCUGGUCCCUGAACGUAUAUCAGAGGUGUUGCACUUACUUGCUCGCAAUUGAAACUUGUUCAUGGCUGUCAGGUGCACUCUCAUCGCGUGUACAUUGUCCAGGACGAGCCCUGUCCUCUCUGGUAGUAUCGUCAUGUACCAUCACUGUGUCGUGUUGGGGGAAACCAUUGACGUUUUCACGUUUGCAAUACAUUGGAUGUGUUUCAGACGCAUGUCUUAUGACUCGAUCUACGUGAGUCAUGAAACACUAUAUCACUCAGGUACGUCGCGGUAAAUA
rnacentral:rRNA from 1 species